GGGCCCAGGGAUGGGACCUAGGGGCAGGCCUCCCUGGGUAUGAUCCCAGACACUCACCUCUGGUCCAGAUGGAAGCUCUGGGCAGGAUCCCUUUAUCUUUUCAAAGAAAAGUGUGAGACAGUCACUGUCACCACAAUUCAGAUUUUUUACUUUGGACUAAAAGAUUUUUUUCUGCAGACACAGAUGGUCAGCCUGGCUCAGUUCAUUCACUUAUGCUUUUAACUAUCUUCUUUUUACCUUCCUUAGGAAGAAUUUCAUAAUGCCUGUGAUUAUUAUUGAGCAUUUCCACAAAUGUUUACAUCAUAUGCAGGAAAAGAACCAUAAAAACCCCUCUAAGACAAAUCCUCAAGUUGAUCAUGAAAAGUACCAGGGAAGGGACACUGAGAUGACAAGGUCUAAAUUUGAAGUUUCCUAUCUUGGAUCAUCCACCUGAUGAGUACUGUAAUGAUGAUUCUCUUUAUUGGAAGGUAAUGUACAGGAUUCUAAAAAGUGGAGUAAAUCAUGGUUCUAUGAAGGUUCAGAUGGCCAAGGACCCAUUUUCUAUAACAGACCAAAACCAUAGGUAGACAAGGAGAAACUCUUCAAAUGCUGUU